UACGUAGGAUGCAAGCGUUGUCCGGAUUUACUGGGCGUAAAGCGCGCGCAGGCGGCACUCUAAGUACGUCGUGAAAUAUCCCGGCUCAACCGGGAGGGUGCGAUGUAGACUAGGGAGCUAGAGGUCGGUAGAGGGGGGUGGAAUUGCUGGUGUAGCGGUGAAAUGCGUAGAGAUCAGCAGGAACACCCGUGGCGAAGGCGGCUCUCUGGGACGGUACUGACGCUGAGACGCGAAAGCGUGGGGAGCGAACAGG
rnacentral:rRNA from 1 species